UCGAUGUUCAAGAUAAUUGAGUGAUAAUUAUGGUGCUACCAGCCGAGACAAAAAUGACAAAUCUCAUGUCAGGCAUUUAAAUGAUGAAGAGAAAGGGAUUUCAUCAAUUUAUAAUCAAUCUUUAACCAGAAAUUGCUUCUUGGCAAGAACAAAAUGAACUUUCAUUUUCAUUGCUUCAACAGCAAUAUCUUCACAUUCAUCUCCUAAAGAUUCGUUGACCAUAUUCUACAUUAGCCUGAUCCUUACAGUCGCCGGAAAAAACCUUGCUGCCUCUGUUCUUGCAUUCGCCUCUGUGUUUGCUUAGACCGUUCCUUAAACUCUUUUGCAAUAUCCUCUCUUUCAUAAGAUGCUAGCACUUUUCUGAUAUCUGCUGGACUUGCACGAGCAACAUAUUCAAGAAAUGGAAUGAGAUCCAAAAGUGUUGUAUCCACAGAUCCCUCGCCUUUCUCAUCAAUCUGAAAAGGCUUGAUAGGGACACAAUUUUCUGGCUGAAGGCUAUUUUCAAAAGCAUGAGCGCUCACAUAUAUAAUCUUACCUGGAUCUCUAUUAAGUUUCGAGAGAUCUCUAUAAUGCUUUCCAUCCUGAUACUUCGUAGCACCCCUUGAUAGCCUAUAUCGUAUGCAGUGGCUGGUGUCCAACCUUUCAACAACAGGAUCUACAUACAUACUCAGCUGAUCAGAAUACACAACGAUUUCAUAUAACCUUGCAAGGUGUUGCAAGAAGUCAUCAACCCCAGGUCUUUUGAAAGUUCGCCAACCUCUAUCACGCUUCCAAUCACUAUAAAUGAUUGUCUCAUUAAGAUCCAAAACCAAAGUAAAAACAUGUUGCUCAGAGGGAUGCAAAUCAGGUAGAAGUUUAUCUGAGGUUGGUUCAGUAAAACCUUUAACUUGUUCUUCAAUGGCCCUCCUUGUAUCCAAGUAAAGUUCAACUGCUUUAGCAGGAACUGUCAUUGCAGCAGAAUAGAGCAAACCCUGGUAUUUCUCCAUGGAGGAUGCAUCUUCACCCACCUUGUAGUUGACUGAUUGUCGCAAUGCCUUUGUCUUAUCCUCUAUUUCAUCCAAUGUAUAUGCGUAAGUUGCGUAGCCAGCAAAACCAGUAGCUCCACUAAGAGUGGCAAUGAGCCCAAACUUAAAAAAGCUCCAGCCUUUCCUCUGCGAACCCGCAGCAACAGCCUCAGCCGGCGGCUCCGCAGCAGCAGCUGUCACCUCAGCUGCUUGUUCAGCGAUGAUAGAUUGAGAAGAGAUGAUCGAUUCUUUGUCGGCCUUAGAACUAAAAAAUCGACGAUUAGGUUUCUUAAUUCUCGAUAGCAAUGAUAAAACGCGAGAUCGAAGUAAAAUUGAAGCCAUUGUUAGGGCUUUUCAGGGUAUUGGGAUUUAGGGGGUUAAAUAGGGUUUUACGAGAGAGAGAGAGAGAGAGAGAAGAGAAU
rnacentral:misc_RNA from 1 species